rnacentral:rRNA from 1 species
CCUACGGGUGGCAGCAGUGAGGAAUAUUGGUCAAUGGACGCAAGUCUGAACCAGCCAUGCCGCGUGCAGGAUGACGGCUCUAUGAGUUGUAAACUGCUUUUGUACGAGGGUAAACCCCGAUACGUGUAUCGGUUUGAAAGUAUCGUACGAAUAAGGAUCGGCUAACUCCGUGCCAGCAGCCGCGGUAAUACGGAGGAUUCAAGCGUUAUCCGGAUUUAUUGGGUUUAAAGGGUGCGUAGGCGGUGUGAUAAGUUAGAGGUGAAAUGCCGGGGCUCAACUCCGAAACUGCCCCUAAUACUGUUCGACUAGAGAGUAGUUGCGGUAGGCGGAAUGUAUGGUGUAGCGGUGAAAUGCUUAGAGAUCAUACAGAACACCGAUUGCGAAGGCAGCUUACCAAGCUAUAUCUGACGUUGAGGCACGAAAGCGUGGGGAGCAAACAGGAUUAGAUACCCUGGUAGUC